rnacentral:lncRNA from 1 species
ACUAAUUGAAGGAUUUGGGUAGGUUUUCUUAACGGCGGCUAUAAGCUUACCGUCGUCGAGAAAAGCUUUAUAAACGGUGCCGUGGCUACCUUUACCGAGAAAACUUUCGGCAGAGAAGCCGUUGGUAGCUUGUACUAACUCCGGGUAAGUGAAGUCUCUGAUUUUUAUUGGUUUAUUUUGUUUAGCUUUGGUAGCUUUAUUUUUUCUUCUAUUGCGAUCCCAAUUGUAUGGAUCGCAGGUGGCUAUUGCAGACUCUGCAUUACAAGAGAGAUAACCCAUAAUUAAAAUAAUAAGAAGAAGAAGAAAGAAAGUAUAGGGUUAUUUGCAAGGGAGACGAAGAUAGUGAGAGAUAGAUGGAUUCAGAAGAAGGUGGAGGUGGAAGUUGGAAAGUAGAACGGCAAAUGCCAUUAUUAGUAGAAAGAAGGUAGAGAAAGUCUAAAGGCGUGGGCUGUGUUUUACAGCUUUGAAGUUGAGAACCGAACGAUGUGAAAAUAAUCAAAGCUUGAAAAUUUUGAAUGCUGCUGGUGUUUGUAAAUAUUUUAAUGUUUUUCUCUUUCUUUUUACAUGCAAAAGCGUGCGACUUUAGGUGGAAUUUCUCGGGCUUGGCUUAAAGACGGUGGGGCCGGGCCAGGUAUCUGUUUUCACUUUUACUUUUCUAUUCCGGUCCAUGAACUGGUUUUUUUUUUUUAAAAAAAAAAAUUUAAAAUAUGCUAAUUAAGUUAUCAUCUAUUAUUCAAUUUUAGAUGAUAACUUAAUAAGAAUGUGGACUUUUUUACUCUAGUGUAUUCAAUUUUACUCUUUAGUGUGAAUUAUUUUGUUUACUCUCUAUAUUAUAAUACCUUAUAUUAGAUUCCCUG